ACUGGAAUUGGGACCCUCUCCACCUGAUUUGGAGUUCGUUUGUAUUUCAGCUCGUACUCGACGUAGGAGCAUCGGAUUUCGUCGAGACUUGAUUCGUUGGUUUCGGGACUGCAAGAAGAAUCCACAAGUCCUUACUUGUGGAUUUUGGUGAAGAUCUUAAGGGGCUUUUGUUGCUGGUUUGAAGAGGUUUCCAGCAGUGUUGCUUGAGGAUCCGAGACCCUAUUGCUGCCAGGAAUUGCAUUAGAGAGCCACAGGUUUCGGCUGCUGCGCCUUCCGCGGAUCAGGA